AGACCCGAAACCCGGUGAUCUAGCCAUGGGCAGGUUGAAGGUUGGGUAACACUAACUGGAGGACCGAACCGACUAAUGUUGAAAAAUUAGCGGAUGACCUGUGGCUGGGGGUGAAAGGCCAAUCAAACCGGGAGAUAGCUGGUUCUCCCCGAAAGCUAUUUAGGUAGCGCCUCGUGAAUUCAUCUCCGGGGGUAGAGCACUGUUUCGGCUAGGGGGCCAUCCCGGCUUACCAACCCGAUGCAAACUGCGAAUACCGGAGAAUGUUAUCACGGGAGACACACGGCGGGUGCUAACGUCCGUCGUGAAGAGGGAAACAACCCAGACCGCCAGCUAAGGUCCCAAAGUCAUGGUUAAGUGGGAAACGAUGUGGGAAGGCCCAGACAGCCAGGAUGUUGGCUUAGAAGCAGCCAUCAUUUAAAGAAAGCGUAAUAGCUCACUGGUCGAGUCGGCCUGCGCGGAAGAUGUAACGGGGCUAAACCAUGCACCGAAGCUGCGGCAGCGACGCUGAUGCGUUGUUGGGUAGGGGAGCGUUCUGUAAGCCUGUGAAGGUGUGUCGUGAGGCAUGCUGGAGGUAUCAGAAGUGCGAAUGCUGACAUAAGUAACGAUAAAGCGGGUGAAAAGCCCGCUCGCCGGAAGACCAAGGGUUCCUGUCCAACGUUAAUCGGGGCAGGGUGAGUCGACCCCUAAGGCGAGGCCGAAAGGCGUAGUCGAUGGGAAACGGGUUAAUAUUCCCGUACUUGGUGUUACUGCGAAGGGGGGACGGAGAAGGCUAUGUUGGCCGGGCGACGGUUGUCCCGGUUUAAGCGUGUAGGCUGGUUUUCCAGGCAAAUCCGGAAAAUCAAGGCUGAGGCGUGACGACGAGGCACUACGGUGCUGAAGCAACAAAUGCCCUGCUUCCAGGAAAAGCCUCUAAGCAUCAGGUAACAUCAAAUCGUACCCCAAACCGACACAGGUGGUCAGGUAGAGAAUACCAAGGCGCUUGAGAGAACUCGGGUGAAGGAACUAGGCAAAAUGGUGCCGUAACUUCGGGAGAAGGCACGCUGACACGUAGGUGAAGUGAUUUACUCAUGGAGCUGAAGUCAGUCGAAGAUACCAGCUGGCUGCAACUGUUUAUUAAAAACACAGCACUGUGCAAACACGAAAGUGGACGUAUACGGUGUGACGCCUGCCCGGUGCCGGAAGGUUAAUUGAUGGGGUCAGCGCAAGCGAAGCUCCUGAUCGAAGCCCCGGUAAACGGCGGCCGUAACUAUAACGGUCCUAAGGUAGCGAAAUUCCUUGUCGGGUAAGUUCCGACCUGCACGAAUGGCGUAAUGAUGGCCAGGCUGUCUCCACCCGAGACUCAGUGAAAUUGAACUCGCUGUGAAGAUGCAGUGUACCCGCGGCAAGACGGAAAGACCCCGUGAACCUUUACUAUAGCUUGACACUGAACAUUGAGCCUUGAUGUGUAGGAUAGGUGGGAGGCUUUGAAGUGUGGACGCCAGUCUGCAUGGAGCCGACCUUGAAAUACCACCCUUUAAUGUUUGAUGUUCUAACGUGGACCCGUUACCCGGGUUGCGGACAGUGUCUGGUGGGUAGUUUGACUGGGGCGGUCUCCUCCUAAAGAGUAACGGAGGAGCACGAAGGUUGGCUAAUCCUGGUCGGACAUCAGGAGGUUAGUGCAAUGGCAUAAGCCAGCUUGACUGCGAGCGUGACGGCGCGAGCAGGUGCGAAAGCAGGUCAUAGUGAUCCGGUGGUUCUGAAUGGAAGGGCCAUCGCUCAACGGAUAAAAGGUACUCCGGGGAUAACAGGCUGAUACCGCCCAAGAGUUCAUAUCGACGGCGGUGUUUGGCACCUCGAUGUCGGCUCAUCACAUCCUGGGGCUGAAGUAGGUCCCAAGGGUAUGGCUGUUCGCCAUUUAAAGUGGUACGCGAGCUGGGUUUAGAACGUCGUGAGACAGUUCGGUCCCUAUCUGCCGUGGGCGCUGGAGAACUGAGGGGGGCUGCUCCUAGUACGAGAGGACCGGAGUGGACGCAUCACUGGUGUUCGGGUUGUCAUGCCAAUGGCACUGCCCGGUAGCUAAAUGCGGAAGAGAUAAGUGCUGAAAGCAUCUAAGCACGAAACUUGCCCCGA
rnacentral:rRNA from 2 species